rnacentral:tRNA from 1 species
GCUUAGUUGGUUAAAGCGCCGGUCUAGCGAAUACGGAGUCGUGGGUUCGAAUCCCAC